GAUGAACGCUGGCGGCGUGCCUAAUACAUGCAAGUCGAGCGAACGGACGAGAAGCUUGCUUCUCUGAUGUUAGCGGCGGACGGGUGAGUAACACGUGGAUAACCUACCUAUAAGACUGGGAUAACUUCGGGAAACCGUAGCUAAUACCGGAUAAUAUUUUGAACCGCAUGGUUCAAAAGUGAAAGACGGUCUUGCUGUCACUUAUAGAUGGAUCCGCGCUGCAUUAGCUAGUUGGUAAGGUAACGGCUUACCAAGGCAACGAUGCAUAGCCGACCUGAGAGGGUGAUCGGCCACACUGGAACUGAGACACGGUCCAGACGCCUACGGGAGGCAGCAGUAGGGAAUCUUCCGCAAUGGGCGAAAGCCUGACGGAGCAACGACGCGUGAGUGAUGAAGGUCUUCGGAUCGUAAAACUCUGUUAUUAGGGAAGAACAUAUGUGUAAGUAACUGUGCACAUCUUGACGGUACCUAAUCAGAAAGCCACGGCUAAAUACGUG
rnacentral:rRNA from 1 species